GAUUAACGCUGGCGGUAUGCCUAACACAUGCAAGUCGAACGGAAUACUAAUUAAGAGAAUCUCACACUAGUGAGAGGUUCUCACGAGUAGUAUUUAGUGGCGGACGGGUGAGUAACACGUUGGAACCUGCCCCGAAGUGGGGAAUAACUGCUCGAAAGAGUAGCUAAUACCCCAUAGUAUCCGGUUUAUCCGGAUUAAAGAUUUAUCGCUUCGGGAGGGGCCUGCGUCUGAUUAGCUAGUUGGUGAGGUAAAAGCUCACCAAGGCGACGAUCAGUAGCUGGUUCGAGAGGAUGACCAGCCACACUGGGACUGAGAUACGGCCCAGACUCCUACGGGAGGCAGCAGUGAGGAAUCUUCCACAAUGGACGAAAGUCUGAUGGAGCAAUACCGCGUGCAGGAAGACGCUUUUCGGAGUGUAAACUGCUUUUGUCGUCGAAGAUUAUGACUGUAGACGAAGAAUAAGGACCGGCUAACUACGUGCCAGCAGCCGCGGUAAUACGUAGGGUCCAAGCGUUAUCCGGAAUUACUGGGCGUAAAGCGUACGCAGAUGGCGUGAUAGGUGAGUUGUGAAAUCUUGUGGCUCAACCAUAUAGACUAUGACUCAAACCAUCACACUAGAGGUUGGUAGAGGCAAGCGGAAUUCCCGGUGUAGCAGUGACAUGCGUAGAUAUCGGGAGGAACACCAAUGGCGAAGGCAGCUUGCUGGGCCACACCUGACGUUAAGGUACGAAAGCGUGGGGAGCGAACGGGAUUAGAUACCCCGGUAGUCCACGCCGUAAACGAUGGAUACUAGUGGUAUGGAGAUUCGACCCUCUGUGUCACGAAGCUAACGCGAUAAGUAUCCCGCCUGGGGAGUACGAACGCAAGUUUAAAACUCAAAGGAAUUGACGG
rnacentral:rRNA from 1 species